UGUCGUCCAUUGCGGUUUUUCUGUGUUUGCUGGUCAUCCUGGUUUCAGGAUUAAAAGAGCUCAUUGUGAAUCCUGGACAAGAUGCCCCUCUUCAGUGUCAGGGUCCCAGAGAUGCAGAGAUCACCCUGUUGGAGUGGAACAGAGCUGACCUCAAAUCAGAUGAAUAUGUCUUUAUGUACAGAAACCAGCGCCCGUAUGAAAGCUACCAACAUGAGUCCUUCAAAGGCUGAGUGGACCUGAUGGAUCCAUCCAUGAAGGAUGGAAAUGUGUCUGUGACGCUGAGGAACGUCAGGAUCAACGAUACAGGAACGUACAAGUGUCAGAUUACAACCAAGGAAACAGAAAGUGUCGUCCACGAGUGCUCCAUCAACCUCACAGUCACAACCUCAGAUAAACACACCAAGGAGUCCCAGACUGAGUCCAAGGAUGGAGGAGAGAGGGUUAAGUGUCUGUCUGUCAUCAUCCUCGUCCUGUCAGUUUUUGUUGUGCUUAUUACUGAUAUUAUGUAAUUGCCCGCAGAACCUGAAAAAUGUGUCUGAUCUCUUUACUGACAGUGAGUUCUGCUCUUCAACAAAGACGAAUCUUUCAAGUUAGAGCUUCAUGCAGCACAUUCACAGCACUGCAGGCCUCACCAAUCAUUACAGUUAAAUCAGUUAACGUUAGAUCAGUGCUAUGGGUUCCCAUUGUGCCUGUAAAAAGCUUUGAGUUUAACCCUGGGUUUUAUGUACCUGUAGCUUUAUUGUUUGAAGUCUGCAGCAGAGCUUGGCUUUCCUCUGGGAACAGGCAGCAGGUGGAGGAGCAGCUGGUGUGCACAGGGGAGUAAAUGAUAGGUUGAAUCUUUCCAAACGAAAAAAUCAAUCUAUCCUUUUUCUUUAGCUUAUUUGGGGUGGGUUAUGGGAGCACCAGCCUAAGCAUAGAAGGCUUCUCACCAGCCACUUCCUCCAGGGUGUCCUGGAGCCUCCUCUCAGUGGAAAAAAUGAAACGAGUAGGUGUUGUUGUAGUUUUUGUUUUGGGGGGGGGGGGGUUUGAGAAAGAC